ensembl:lncRNA
GUUCUGAAAAAGAAUUUUGUGAAUGUUUAGGAUAAUACUAGCAUAUGACCUUAAAGCUGUUUGCAUAUGCACUAAAACUAGCAAGAAUUUCAUUUAGAAUUAAUUGUCCUUAAGUUUUGAAAUUGAGUUGAGUUUAUACAUGUCCUAUGUGAACAGAACUGCACUUGGCAGCUUUAUACAAUGCAAGUUCUGUUUUUAAAUCCAGCUGAUGCCUUUCUUUUUUAAAACGUAAAGGAAUGGACCUUGGAUAAAUGUUUUCAAUGAGAACACAUGGGCUAAAAUGUUUGUUUUAUCUUAAAGUCCAAGAAACCCAAGUAGGAUGGAAAUUGAGGAGGUAGAUGAAGAGAUAUCAGUCAACCCCUACGAGACAGCCUUUGAUCCCUAUUCCUCCGCCCCAUCCCAAGAUCCAGAAGGUAGAGGAAAUCUCAAGAAGAUUCAUCUCAAGGAAAUCUCAGAUUCGGCCUGCCUUUUUCUGUCCAGGCAUGAAGAUGCAUCUCUCUGGUGGCUGUCCUGAUGAAGCUUGUGUGUGUGAGAAGCUUUGGUUGAGCGUAAUGUCCAGAGCAGCUUAAAAAUACACAAAAGUCUUUUUCUAUCAAUGUUCCAGUUUUCUGACUGGAUUCACCAUCCCAGCCUAGGAGAGCAUUCUGUUCAAGACUUGCUAAAGAAACAGCCUUUGACCUCUGACCUGUGCUUAAAGGUGGACAGAGAUUAAGAGGUUUGCAUGCUCAGUCAGUAGAGCUUGAGGAAUAUUUUUUGUUUAGAGUUACAGCAUUUGAGCUCUUAAAAUCAAACUCUCACACGGACUGAAAAGCCUCCAGAGUUCUUGAGUCUAAAAGUGGCUGUAACUCGUCACUAUGUAGUGAAACUUCACACCAGAGUCGAAACAUCUGCGAUACCUCACUGUUGUUUCAGGGCGACUGCAUAAGAUGGUUAUGAAAUAGUCUGAUACUUUAAAAUGGACGCUUGGUGCCUUUAAAUAAUUCAGGAAUGUGAAUCAGUGCCGCUCGACAGAAUUUGAUUAUUUUUAUCUGAAAUGUUUGUUUCAGUUCAUGUGUAGCAGUCAAACAAAUUGUUUUUCUAACAUGAGUUAAAAUGUAAAUGUUGGAUUUUUUUCUGAGUGCACAAAUAAAAAGCUUAUUUCCUUAAUGAAUUGUUCGUUUCAUUCAGAAAUAUGUUACAAUAUUACACCAGAUGUAUGUUUCACAAAUUAAGUUUGAGAGGGUUUGUAUAUUUUGUGCUUCAUUGUUUACUGAAAGAUGUUCAUUAUAUGCUGCAUAUUUAACACUAUUUUAUCUCUGACGACUGAUAAAUGUCACCAUGUCCUAAACUGUGCUUUCAAUAAAAGUAACAUGAUCAUAAAUGGUGUCUGAAAGAAAUAGACAUUUCAGCUGUUUUCAUAUCCAUAUGAUCUCCUGAUCAGUAACAGAUGUCAAUGAUAUGAACGUCAAAUAUAUAAUGUGAAUGUUAAUAAAGUCUCUGAACUCAUGGGAUC